UAUCAAAAGCAGGGAUAUAUGUGCUCCUUCUAGCACACAUGCCGUUUACGCUACUCGCUGUCAGUUCCGACAAUUUGUUGGAAAAAAUUUUCAAGUGCAUUUGUCGUGGAUUCUCUAAUUGUUUGUUUUCAAUUAUUACUGACGAAAAGUAAGCAAUAAAACCCAUUUAAAAAUAGUGUCUAGAUCCAGUAAUAUCUUAAAUUUCGCAUUUUCUUUAGUCGAAGGUCAGCCUGCCUAGCCAUUGCGGAAACUGUUCGGUUAAUUACAAUGGUUCGGCCAACCUAGAUCGUCCAUUUAGAAUCGAAAUGUAACUAGAUAAUUUGUAAAAAAAAAAAACCAGAACAUUGCCGAAUUUUUCGUAAUUUAGUUUGUUAUACAUAAAUAGUAGAAGGUCCGACAAGGGCACGACCUUCACCCAUCUGUUUAAUGUAUGAAAUCUAUUUUGUAUGAAAUUUAACGUGUUAGGAAAUAUUUCGCGAGUGGAUUGGCUGAAAUAAUGCUGGCUGAGAUAUUUUUAAUUAAAUAUUCAAAAAAUACUCUAUAUUUUAAUUUUGCACUCAUAUGUUUAAUGAAAAAAUUACAUAUGGGUUUUUCCUGCGUUACGACCGUUCCGUUUGGAGACAAUUUUUUCUUCAUAAAAACUACAGUGGGCACUGAAUGAACACAAGUUUUUUGUCAUUAGCCAUCAUCAAUAUCCUCUAUGUAUAAAUAUUGUGACUAUUUUUGUGAGCACCAGUAUGCGAAAUAAUGUCAAUUGACCUUAUUUCCGUUGAUCUCGGUCUGCUCGCUUAAAAUUUUGUUUUGCUAAUCUCAAAAUCCUUGAACUCCUUUUUAAAAAUCUGAUAUGCUUCGUUUACUGUCAAAACCAUGUAGCGCUUUGAUAUACAUAGUUAGUUCUUGCUUACUUAACAAUUUGUUUAAUUUAGGGUACUCAUUUUCGCAUUUCGCCUCCUCAUUUUCACUAUCUUAUUUGUCUAAUAUUUUUUUUAAUGUCUUUUCAACUUAUUUUAUGGAUGUAUUGUUUACUUUUAUACUUGC